rnacentral:ribozyme from 1 species
UGUUAUAAGGGGGAGGAAAGUCCGGGCUCCAUAGGGUAGGGUGCCAGGUAACGCCUGGGCGGGUUAAACCGACGACAAGUGCAGCAGAGAGAAGACCGCCAACCGUUGUUUCGACAGCAGUUGGUAAGGGUGAAAGGGUGCGGUAAGAGCGCACCGUGUGCCUGGUAACAGUGCAUAGCAAGGUAAACUCCACCCGGAGCAAGACCAAAUAGGUCUCCAUGGUGCGACCCGCAUCGGAGACGGGUAGGUUGCUUGAGCCUGUGAG